AUGGGGAACCGCGGGAUGGAGGAUCUCAUCCCGCUGGUCAACCGGCUGCAGGACGCCUUCGCCGCCAUCGGGCAGAACGCCAACCUCGACCUGCCGCAGAUCGCCGUGGUGGGGGGGCAGAGCGCCGGCAAGAGCUCCGUGUUGGAGAAUUUCGUCGGGAGGGACUUUCUGCCCCGUGGAUCUGGCAUUGUGACCAGGCGCCCACUUGUCCUUCAGCUGGUAAAUGCCAGCACAGAAUAUGGCGAGUUCCUACACUGCAAAGGGAAGAAAUUCACCGAUUUUGAGGAGGUCCGUUUGGAGAUUGAGGCUGAAACAGAUCGUGUUACUGGCUCCAACAAAGGGAUUUCCCCUGUGCCCAUCAAUCUCCGAGUCUACUCUCCCCAUGUCCUGAACCUGACCUUGGUGGAUCUGCCGGGUAUGACAAAAGUCCCUGUAGGGGAUCAGCCCCCUGACAUCGAGUUCCAGAUCCGAGACAUGCUCAUGCAGUUUGUCACCAAAGAGAACUGCCUCAUCUUGGCAGUAUCCCCAGCCAACUCUGAUCUGGCCAAUUCUGAUGCCCUGAAGAUUGCAAAGGAGGUGGAUCCUCAAGGCCAACGCACCAUUGGGGUCAUCACCAAGCUGGAUCUUAUGGAUGAAGGAACUGAUGCACGAGAUGUAUUAGAAAACAAAUUGCUUCCCCUCCGUAGGGGUUACAUUGGUGUGGUCAACAGAAGUCAGAAGGACAUAGAUGGCAAGAAGGACAUUCAGGCAGCUCUGGCUGCAGAGAGGAAGUUUUUUCUCUCCCACCCAGCCUACAGACACAUGGCUGAUCGCAUGGGAACCCCAUUCCUGCAGAAAGUUCUGAACCAGCAACUGACCAACCACAUCCGUGACACGCUGCCAGGGCUACGGAACAAGCUCCAGAGCCAGCUCCUCUCCAUUGAGAAGGAGGUGGAGGAGUACAAGAACUUUCGCCCUGAUGACCCUGCUCGCAAGACCAAAGCUCUGCUUCAGAUGGUCCAGCAGUUUGCUGUGGACUUUGAGAAACGCAUUGAAGGCUCUGGAGACCAAAUUGACACCUAUGAGCUGUCAGGAGGAGCUCGGAUCAACCGCAUCUUCCACGAGCGCUUCCCCUUUGAGCUGGUGAAGAUGGAGUUUGAUGAGAAGGAGCUGCGGCGGGAGAUCAGCUACGCCAUCAAGAACAUCCACGGUAUCAGAACCGGUCUCUUCACACCUGACAUGGCCUUUGAGACCAUUGUGAAAAAGCAGGUGAAGAAGAUUAAAGAGCCUUGCCUGAAAUGCGUGGACAUGGUCAUUUCGGAGUUAAUCAAUACUGUUAGACAGUGCACCAAGAAGCUCAGCCAGUACCCUCACCUGCGUGAGGAGAUGGAGAGGAUCGUCACCACCCACAUCCGCGAGAGGGAAGGCAGGACCAAGGAUCAGGUCAUGCUUCUAAUAGACAUUGAGCUGGCUUACAUGAACACAAACCACGAGGAUUUCAUUGGCUUUGCCAAUGCUCAGCAGAGGAGCAGCCAGAUGAGCAAGAAGAAGGCAGCUGGUAACCAGGAUGAGAUCCUGGUGAUCCGGAAAGGCUGGCUCACCAUCAACAACAUUGGGAUCAUGAAGGGUGGCUCCAAGGAGUAUUGGUUUGUCCUGACAGCGGAGAACCUCUCCUGGUACAAGGAUGAUGAGGAGAAGGAGAAGAAGUACAUGUUACCAGUGGAUAACCUGAAACUGCGAGAUGUGGAGAAGGGCUUCAUGUCCAGCAAGCACAUCUUUGCUCUCUUCAACACUGAACAGAGGAAUGUUUACAAGGACUACCGGCAGCUGGAGCUGGCCUGUGAGACCCAGGAGGAGGUGGACAGCUGGAAGGCUUCCUUCCUUCGUGCAGGAGUCUACCCAGAGCGUGUUGGGGACAAGGACAAAGCCAGUGAAGCAGAGGAGAAUGGAGGAGAUAGUUUCAUGCACUCCAUGGAUCCUCAGCUGGAGAGACAAGUGGAAACGAUCAGGAACCUGGUGGAUUCCUACAUGGCAAUUGUCAACAAAACCAUCAGAGACCUCAUGCCGAAGACAAUCAUGCACCUCAUGAUAAACAAUACCAAGGACUUCAUCCACUCAGAGCUGCUGGCAAACCUGUACUCGUGUGGCGACCAGAACACGCUGAUGGAGGAGUCGGCGGAGCAGGCCCAGCGCCGCGACGAAAUGCUGCGCAUGUACCACGCCCUGAAAGAGGCCCUCAACAUCAUCGGGGACAUCAACACCAGCACCAUCAGCACCCCCAUGCCCCCACCGGUGGACGACUCUUGGCUGCAGGUGCAGAGCGUACCGUCCGGACGCAGGUCCCCCACAUCCAGCCCAACGCCGCAGAGGAGAGCUCCUGCAGUGCCCCCCGCCAGACCUGGGUCUCGCGGACCGGCUCCUGGGCCACCUCCUGCUGGUGGCUCCACGCUGGGUGGUGCCCCCCCCGUGCCCUCCAGGCCAGGUGCCUCUCCUGAUCCCUUCGGGCCCCCACCUCAGGUUCCUUCUCGGCCUAAUCGCGCUCCUCCUGGUGUUCCCAGUUGUUCAUAGACUCCUCCGGAUCCUGAUACCAGCUUGUCAUUUGAGUUCACUGAUGAAUGGAGAAUUUCCAAUGACAAGGGACUCUUUCUCUUCCUCUCCUGUAUAUAGAAUAAGAAUGUUCCCUGCUAGCACUUGGACUCGGGUCCUUCUGCCAUGGGUGAACGAAUGCCAUCUCCAUUGUUGCUUUUUUAAUGCCCAUCUUUCCCUUGCUAACCGGGCUGCGUGCGUGUGUGAGAGAGAACAAAGCUCUCGUGUUCAGCACGGGUGGGCUUUGCUGCAGGAGUUGGUGGUGUGGGGUGAACUCAAAUGGGUUGUGGUGCCUGGGUGUGCUUUGUGUGCUCAUUGAUGCCUGUGUAGAUGUUUGGUAGUUUUGUGCCUCUGGUUUGGGCAUCUGAUUGUAUGAAUGAUGAACUUACACAAGUGUCAUGCUAGCUCCUUUUUCAUAAACAUAAGUGUAUAAACACAUUUUCACAUCUAAUUACCACAUGGUACAUUUUUUUGCACAGAAAGAUUUUCCUGCGUAUAAUUAAGGACACUUAAGACUUAACAUCCUGCUUCUGUGCUCAGCAUUUAUUCAGUUUACUGUGGAAGUCCAUAUAGACAAAUACAUAAUUUUGGCUGAAAGUUAUAAACCAUCCAAGAUCUUACCAGUGUGCAAUGGACUGCAUUUAGGAUUUGACCUGGGAAAGAAUAUUUAGGCUCUUUAGUUUAAAAUCGUUUGAUAGAGCCUGUGGGAAGAACUUGAAGGAGAAUUAAGAAAGUUUCAGUGCGAAUGACUCGACCAUUGGAAAAAUGUGUUGAAGGCAUUAAUGUGUUCUCCAUUCUUUGGUAUCACGAGGGCAUAGGUCUGGGGUUACCUCCUGGCAGGGAUGGUUCUCACUGGCUGCUCUGCUGGUCAGUACAAUGGGGACACAUCACUGGAACUCCCAAAGGGUUCUUGGACACACAGUUUCAAGGGACAAAUUAUCUCCUCGGUGAUUUAGUGGCCAAUGUCCAUGCCCAUGGCCAGGGUUGGAACUAGAUGGUCUUUAAGGUCCCUUCCAACCCAAACCAUUCUAUGAUAAGGUCUCAGAGCUGUAUGACCUGAAUUAUUCAGGAGGUCAGAGUAGCUGAUUUCAUGAUUUGUGACCUUCAGAAAAGCCUCCACCUGCUUUGUGCCAUUUUAGAUAGUGCUCAGGACUGCAAGUUAUCUCUCUCUUUCCUGAGCUCCUUCUUAAACGCUUAAUUUGGUCAGAAGAUAGGAGUCCUCAGUGAGAGACUACUGUGCCCAGCUGGUGGGUGCUGAAACCUGGGUAUGACACUGCUGUGAAUGUCAGCCUGGAUGUGAGGAGCUUGGGUGAGUGAGCAGCAGCCAGUAGGUGUGUGGACAGAUGGAUGGGGUUUGAUCACUCCUGUGCACAGCAGGGUCUGGAUGUGUGCAGAGACGAGGCUGUGAGUGUUUUCUGUGUGUCUGCAGUCCCCCUACUCAUGCUGUGUUUGGAGGGGGAUGUGUGACUGUGUCUGUGCAAGCACCUGUGUAUCUGUUCCACCUUCCUGACAGUCUGUGUGGCCUCUGCCUUGAACUGUCUGAACUGCCAUGUUGAUUUCAUGUUGUCUUUCAGAAUCACUAUCAGUGACCCCUGAGGACUGGCAGCCACGCAGAAGGGGCCCCGCCUCACCUACUCGACCUACCAUAAUCCGACCGGCUGAACCGUCCCUCUUAGAUUUAUAACUUGAGGCUGUAGACAGCUGGCGACGAGUGCCGUGCUGGUGGCUUCCCCAUUCCACCCUCCCUUCCACAGCCACAGUCACUCCUCUCAUCCAUCCCACACCCCUGCCUCCCACCACCCCUCCCCGGUGUGUCGUAAAACUCUAGCCUAGUGAUUGAGCUCUUCGUCCUCGCUCGUGCGUCCUGUAUUGCUUUGUGAGCAUAGAGUAGCCUUCAUGCAGUGGCAUGGAUCCCUGAAGUACACAGGCUCCUUGGAGAGAUCAGCCACAGGGACGUCCUUAGGUCCAAGUGGUGGCUGUCCGUCCAGUAAUUCCACCUGCCUAGUCUAGCCUGGAAAAGUGUCCUGCCUGCACCAGUUAGCUGUAGCACCCAGGGCUGAGCUGUAGCUGUUUUCUUUCCUUGUAGUUUAAGACAAAAGCGUGACUUAGCAAAAAUAUACUGUCAAAACACAUGACACCCGUUAGGAACAGAUUAAAUGUCCUGUGUAUUAGCUUGACUUCUAAGGUGCAAAAAUUUCACGUUGGGAACAGUGCAAUCAACUUCCUAUCAAAGCGAGGCAGGGAGAUGAGUGGAGGGGGGAAUCAAUGGGCCAGCCCAGUCUGAGAUGGCACACACCCCUCAGCGUGCAGGGGGCUCAGGACCUGCUCACCCUCGGCUCCCGGAGCCGGGCCACUCCUGCUGGGGGCACGCUGGCUCCUGCCAGCAGUUGUCUUGCAUCACCAUUUUUGGCUGACUUUCCUGAACCCAGCAGGGCGAGGGGAAUAGACACGCUGCUCCCCCCUUGCAAACGGACAGCCAAAUGUUUCAGGGAGUUCGCUGUGUGGUGUUUUGUUGAAAAUAUUUCUGCUCUGAACUAAGCACAUCUUUCAGUGUUCUUGGGGUACUGUGGUGACUUCUUCCGUAGCCUUUUCUUGCAUGUGGAUGGUACGUGUUUGGGGAAACUUGUAACCAUUGUUGAUCACAACUCAUCUUAAGGUUUGGUUUUUACUUUUCAUGCUACAUGUAUUUAAAA